UCGGAUCCAACAUGGCCGGUCGGUGUGCAGGGAGUCCUGCGGGAGGCGCAUCGCUACCUGGAGUGGGAUCGAUUGCAUAGCGCCCUACAGGGCUUUUCUACACUGACUUACUGAAGUGUUCAGUUGUGAGGGAACACCGCGCCGACUUCCUGGUACGGGACAAUGGGCAUUUUCUAUUCCAGUUAGACUGGCGCUGCAGUCUCGGCGAUGUGAACUGGCGGGGACGCUUCGCGUUACGACAAGGUCAUGAGUUCCUCUAGGAGACCUCCAGUGGAGAAUAACCUCACCUGUCCGUCACUUCGCCAGGACUCCGCCCCCUCUCAUACUCCCAGCAUACCACCAUGACUUCAGACACAGGGCAGGAUGCUGCGGCCAAACUGGAACAGGAGCGGGCAGAGAUUGUGGCCAAAUAUGACAAGGGAAAGGAGGGUGCGACGGUGGAAGCCGUGGGAAGAUGCCAACUUCCACUUGUACAAAGUCAUCGACCGCUUUGGCUUCCUGCAGUAUGUCCUUUCAAUUUCAUUAAGUUUAAUUAUUUUCUAUUCUGUUCUAUCUUCUCUUCUAUUCAGCUCAAUUCAUUUUCACUUCAUUUAUAUAGUCCCAUGGCACUUUUUAGGGUCUAGUGCCUGAACCCCCCUAGAGCAGUAAGUACGUAGGUCACGAUGUCCAGGAAAAGCCCUCGUUAAACAGGGGGAACCCUUCAACAGAACCCGGGUCCUAAGGGGAACCCAACUACCUGGGGGCGGUGGUAGCAGAGUGGUUAAGGAGCUGGGCUAGCAUGCAGUAGAAGCGUAGUGGUUAAG